CGGGAAGAGCUCAAAUUUAAAAUCUGGCAGCCUUGUGUUGUCCGAGUUGUAGUCUAGAGAAGCAUCAUCCGUGCUGGACCAUGUACAAGUCUCUUGGAACAGAAUGUCAAAGAGGGUGAGAAUCCCGUCUUG
rnacentral:rRNA from 1 species